CUCUGAUUAAAUACAAAAUAAACUGUGGUCUUUCUCCCCCUAGAGCUAAGCACAAAGACCACAGUUUAUUUUGUAUUUAAUCAGAG
rnacentral:miRNA from 1 species